rnacentral:lncRNA from 1 species
CUUAAAAACCUUUUUAAUCUCUUGGAGAUGGUGUUGGAUGUUAAAUAAACUGUCGAUAUUAUUUUUCGAUUGUGAACGCGUUUAAUAACGCGAUAUUGCCAAGGUGAAUGGAUAUAUAUAAAUAUAAAUGGAUAUAUAUGUGUAUAAUGGGAAUUAUAUAUAACAUAUAGAUAGAAUCCCUAUACUAGGAGAGUGACGCCAUUAUGCUUGGAGCGUUCUUCGAGCCUGUUUGCUUAGGAUAAAAUUGACGACAUCGAUGCACCCUAUGUGUGUGAUAUAUAAUCAACACGGGAAAUUAUGUUUGUUCUGUCAGAUCCAUCGGAGAUACAUUCGAGAACGGAUAAGUGGUUAAGAGAAAUAAAAUUAAAUUAUCUGGCGAAUUUAAGGGGCUUUACGCACAAUAAACCAAUAACAGUUGUACGGAAAUUAAACGGUUUCAGGAAUUGAGGAAUUCAACUUUUGAUAAACGAAGAUCAAGUUUUUGUCAAUGUUUUUAGCUUAACUCCUAAUUUAAAGUAAUGCAAUUUUAAGUGAGUACAUCUUGAUGUGCAUCUGCGUAAUAAGUACUUGGGUUUCAGGAAAAAAACCACGUGCCGAU